ACCGCACGACCGCCGCCCGACUGCUGCACAACCGCCGCUUGCCGCCACUGGCUACCGACCGCCAACCACCAAGUGAACUGUUGUUGUUCUACAUCAACUAGGAUCGAGUGCCUGCUCCAGAAAUCCAAGUGAACUGUUGUUGUUCAUGCUAAACGGUACCUAGAUGCAGACAUUCUGUGCUACUCGCUUACGCCGUCAAAGAACAAGGCGCAGGAGGAAAGGCAGGCACGAUAAGCCACAACACAGUCAACUCGCCCACACGAGGCCGGCGGGAAGAAAAUGUUGGAGAAAACUCUUAUGACGUUUUGAAGCUGACAAAACUUAUCUAAGUUCUAUUCUAAAGAAUGCCAGACUUCUGAUGUAAGAUAACGAAAGAAUGAAGACUUAAUCAGACUCAGGAUUAUAUUCUUCAAGAGAAAUGGCAAAGAAGAAAGAGAAACAACGCGUGUCUGCGAGAGGCGAGAGAGGAGAGAAAGGGAGAGAGAUAUAAUGGUGACCCGCGAGGGACAUGUAUUCGUAAUAUGUUGAGUUAGCACGUGUGAACCCAAUAUUUUAUUAGUCCACCACGGCUUUGUCACUUCCGCGGUGACGAU
rnacentral:lncRNA from 1 species